GGUAGCACCACCUUCAGGACUCAGCAAGCUUCCCAAGGUAUAUUACAGUCAAGUUAAAUGUGGCAUUUGUAAGAAGAAAGGCCACAAUAAGAGGACAUGCAAACAGAGCAAUCAGGCCCAGCCACCACCUGCUGAGGUUCAAGCUGAUAAUGUUGAACCUGAAGCUGUUCCAGCAGAGAAUGUUCAAGAAGAUGUUCCAGCCCCUGAUCCAGCUCCUGCUAAUGUGCCUAAUGUGGUAUCACAACAGUUCAGCGAUGUUUUUCACCCAACACAAUCUUCUCAAGCUUCAGCAACCUCUGGAUUUAAACAAAGGACAUUCAAAUCCCUUGCACAGAGGAAACCAAAGCCUCCGAAGCAGCCACAAGCUCCUUGAACUGAUGAUGUUUUCAUCUAUUUAAACUAUUCCAGACCUUAUAUGUAUUUCAUAUGCCUUAUGUUGUGCCAUUUUUGCGUCGAAUUUAGGGCUUUCUUAUG